CCUACGGGCGGCAGCAGUGAGGAAUAUUGGUCAAUGGACGAGAGUCUGAACCAGCCAAGUAGCGUGAAGGAUGACUGCCCUAUGGGUUGUAAACUUCUUUUAUAUGGGAAUAAAAUGUUCCACGUGUGGGAUUUUGUAUGUACCAUAUGAAUAAGGAUCGGCUAACUCCGUGCCAGCAGCCGCGGUAAUACGGAGGAUCCGGGCGUUAUCCGGAUUUAUUGGGUUUAAAGGGAGCGUAGGUGGAUUGUUAAGUCAGUUGUGAAAGUUUGCGGCGCAACCGUAAAAUUGCAGUUGAAACUGGCAGUCUUGAGUACAGUAGAGGUGGGCGGAAUUCGUGGUGUAGCGGUGAAAUGCUUAGAUAUCACGAAGAACUCCGAUUGCGAAGGCAGUUCACUGGACUGCAACUGACACUGAGGCUCGAAAGUGUGGGUAUCAAACAGGAUUAGAGACCCGGGUAGUC
rnacentral:rRNA from 1 species